UGAGUUCUCGACGCGGUCGCCGGCUCGGAUCAACGCGGGUCGGAGGAAAGUCCGGGCUCCAUAGGGAAAGAUGGUCGUUAACAGCGACCGGGGGUAACCCCAGGGCCAGUGCCACAGAAAGCAAACCGCCGCCCUUCGGGACGGUAAGGGUGAAAGGGUGAGGUAAGAGCUCACCGGAUGACUGGUGACAGUCAUCGCAUGGUAAACCCCAUCUGGAGCAAGAUCGAACAGAGGGCGUCCCCUUCGGGGGGCAGGGGUGUCCCGCCUCGAACCCAGCUCUCGGGUUAGAUCGCUCGAGCGAGUCGGCAACGGCUCGCCUAGAUGAAUGACCGCACACGGUUCUCCGUGUACAGGACCCGGCUUAUCAGGGGACUUCCCUU
rnacentral:RNase_P_RNA from 1 species